UACGUAGGGGGCUAGCGUUGUCCGGAAUCAUUGGGCGUAAAGAGCGCGUAGGCGGCCAGAUAAGUCCGGUGUGAAAGUCACAGGCUCAACCUGUGAAUGCCGCUGGAAACUGUCUGGCUAGAGUCCGGAAGGGGCGAGUGGAAUUCCUGGUGUAGCGGUGAAAUGCGCAGAUAUCAGGAGGGACCCCAAUGGCGAAGGCAGCUCGGUGGGACGGUACUGGCGCUGAGGCGCGAAAGCGUGGGGAGCGAACAGG
rnacentral:rRNA from 1 species